UGCAGCCUUGCUCCUCCAGUGUGCGGCGGUGCUCCUCCGGCACGUCGGGCAGCACCGCCACCACGAGAGGAUACGCCGCCUUCACCUUCCGCAGGCCCUUGGCCAGCCCCACCACGCCCUUCACGUAGUCCCCGUUGCCGGCCAAGAAAGUCACGUAGGCCCUCGACGCCACAGCCGCCGGUUUCGCCGCGGUAACGAGCUCGGGAGCCAUGGGAUGUAUUGCUAAAAAAGAGGUGAAUUUGAAGUUGGUUCUUUUUUGUUUGAAGAGGGAAAACUAAAUUGAAUCUUCUUUUUACUUUGCUGAAACUGAAAGAGAGGGCUUAAUUUCUAAAUUAAUUUGGUUUCUUGGUAAUAU
rnacentral:lncRNA from 1 species